rnacentral:sRNA from 1 species
GGCGCGGGAGCCAAAAAGGAUAGCAACUCAGGACGAGGGUUCGGGAACGUCAGGACGACGGAAAGCAGGAAGCAGCGUUCAGCAACGCAGUAAAUGGAAACGGACAAAACAAGGAAAGUUGCUUGCAAAAGGACAGACAAGGCGUCGAGUGCAGACACGGAAUGUGUGGCCUGUUAGGGCCGUGAGAUCAGAAAAAAGGCGACGGGUUAACCUGCCGCCUUUUUUCUUUGCUUGCUU